AGUCGAACGGGAUUUAGUAAACAGAAGCCUCGGCGGAAGAUUACUAAUGAGAGUGGCGAACGGGUGAGUAACGCGUGAGCAACCUGCCUAUGACAGUGGGAUAGCCUCGGGAAACCGGGAUUAAUACCGCAUAAAAUCGUAGAAACACAUGUUUUAACGGUCAAAGAUUAUCGGUCAUAGAUGGGCUCGCGUCUGAUUAGCUAGUUGGUGAGAUAACAGCCCACCAAGGCGACGAUCAGUAGCCGGUCUGAGAGGAUGAACGGCCACAUUGGAACUGAGACACGGUCCAAACUCCUACGGGAGGCAGCAGUGGGGAAUAUUGCACAAUGGGGGAAACCCUGAUGCAGCGACGCCGCGUGAACGAAGAAGGUAUUCGUAUCGUAAAGUUCUGUCCUAUGGGAAGAUAAUGACAGUACCAUAGAAGAAAGCUCCGGCUAAAUACGCGCCAGCAGCCGCGGUAAUACGUGUGGAGCGAGCGUUGUCCGGAAUUAUUGGGCGUAAAGGGUACGCAGGCGGUUUAAUAAGUCGAAUGUUAAAGAUCGGGGCUCAACCCCGUAAAGCAUUGGAAACUGAUAAACUUGAGUAGUGGAGAGGAAAGUGGAAUUCCUAGUGUAGUGGUGAAAUACGUAGAUAUUAGGAGGAAUACCAGUAGCGAAGGCGACUUUCUGGACACAAACUGACGCUGGGGUACGAAAGCGUGGGGAGCAAACAGGAUUA
rnacentral:rRNA from 2 species